UACGUAGGGGGCAAGCGUUGUCCGGAUUUAUUGGGCGUAAAGAGCGUGUAGGCGGCCAGGUAAGUCAGGUGUGAAAACUCCAGGCUCAACCUGGAGACGCCACUUGAUACUGCUGUGGCUAGAGUCCGGUAGGGGAGCAUGGAAUUCCUGGUGUAGCGGUGAAAUGCGCAGAUAUCAGGAGGAACACCGAUGGCGAAGGCAGGUCUCUGGGCCACUACUGACGCUGAGAAGCGAAAGCAUGGGGAGCGAACAGG
rnacentral:rRNA from 1 species